CCCCUCUCAGGAUCGCACCUGGAGAGUUUCCAGUACCCUACCAGUCUCGACUACAGGAGGGAUAGUCAAGCAGAAGCCUGCCUAUUCCAUUCCUAGCUUGGGCAAUGGCUAGCAUGUGGAAGACAAUCUGCUACAAGU